GGGUCCUGGCCCCCCAGGAGCGGGCAGUACCAUGCGGUCAACUGUUAAGUAUUUUGGAAAGCAUCCCUGGCCUGUAGCCCCCAACAAUCUCCAUCAAAGCCUGCCUCGCCCCAACUGGUUUGGCUCAGUGGCUUGAGCGUUGGCCUAUGGACUGAAGGUCC